rnacentral:rRNA from 1 species
AUACGGAGGAUGCGAGCGUUAUCCGGAUUUAUUGGGUUUAAAGGGUGCGUAGGCUGUUUUUCAAGUCAGGGGUGAAUGCCGGGGCUCAACUCCGGAGCUGCCCUUGAUACUGGGAGGCUGGAAUACUGUUGCCGUGGGAGGAAUGAGUAGUGUAGCGGUGAAAUGCAUAGAUAUUACUCAGAACACCGAUUGCGAAGGCAUCUCACGAAGCAGUGAUUGACGCUGAGGCACGAAAGCGUGGGGAUCAAACAGGAUUAGAUACCCUGGUAGUCCACGCAGUAAACGAUGAUAACUAACCGUUGGCGAUAGACAGCCAGUGGCCAAGCGAAAGCGAUAAGUUAUCCACCUGGGGAGUACGACCGCAAGGUUGAAACUCAAAUGAAUUGACGGGG